CAGUUCGGAUCGCAGUCUGCAACUCGACUGCGUGAAGGUGGAGUCGCUAGUAAUCGCGCAUCAGCCAUGGCGCGGUGAAUACGUUCCCGGGCCUUGUACACACCGCCCGUCAAGCCAUGGGAGCCGGGGUGCCUGAAGUACGUGACCGCGAGGAGCGUCCUAAGGCAAAACUGGUGACUGGGGCUAAGUCGUAACAAGGUAGC
rnacentral:rRNA from 1 species